AAUGUAACCCAAAUUAUUGGACCCGUAUUAGAUAUUGAGUUUACAUCUGGUAAACUACCAAAAGUAUACAACGCAAUUG
rnacentral:tRNA from 1 species